rnacentral:rRNA from 1 species
UAGUCCACACCGUAAACGAUGGAUACUAGCUGUUCGGAUUUAUCUGAGUGGCUAAGCGAAAGUGAUAAGUAUCCCACCUGGGGAGUACGUUCGCAAGAAUGAAACUCAAAGGAAUUGACGGGGGCCCGCACAAGCGGUGGAGCAUGUGGUUUAAUUCGAUGAUACGCGAGGAACCUUACCAGGGCUUAAAUGUAGGAUGCAUUAGGUAGAGAUACUUAUUUCUUCGGACUUCUUACAAGGUGCUGCAUGGUUGUCGUCAGCUCGUGCCGUGAGGUGUCAGGUUAAGUCCUAUAACGAGCGCAACCCCUGUUGUUAGUUACCAGCGAGUAGUGUCGGGGACUCUAACGAGACUGCCCGCGUAAGCGGAGAGGAAGGUGGGGACGACGUCAAAUCAUCAUGGCCUUUAUGCCUAGGGCUACACACGUGCUACAAUGGCAGGUACAGAGGGUUGCGAAGGGGUGACCUGGAGCUAAUCUCAGAAAGCCUGUCCCAGUUCGGAUUGGAGUCUGCAA